AUUGAACGCUGGCGGCAGGCCUAACACAUGCAAGUCGAGCGAGCGGCGGACGGGUGAGUAAUGUCUGGGAAACUGCCUGAUGGAGGGGGAUAACUACUGGAAACGGUAGCUAAUACCGCAUACCAUCAGAUGUGCCCAGAUGGGAUUAGCUAGUAGGUGGGGUAACGGCUCACCUAGGCGACGAUCCCCAGCCGGUCUGAGAGGAGGACCAGCAACGCUGUAACUGGGACACGGUCCAGACACAUGCGGGAGGGAGCAGUGGGGAAUAUUGCACAAUGGGCGCAAGCCUGAUACAGCCAUGCAGCGUGUGUGAAGAAGGCCUUCGGGUUGUAAAGCACUUUCAGCGGGGAGGCGUUACCCGCAGGAGAAGCACCGGCUAACUCCGGGCCAGCGGCCGCGGUAAUAC
rnacentral:rRNA from 1 species